rnacentral:rRNA from 1 species
AACGAACGCUGGCGGCAUGCCUAACACAUGCAAGUCGAACGAGACCUCCGUGUCUAGGGGCGCACGGGUGCGUAACGCGUGGGAACCUGCCCGUAGGUUCGGAAUACCUCCCCGAAAGGUGUGCUAAUACCGGAUAAUGUCUUCGGACCAAAGAUUUAUCGCCGUUGGAUGGGCCGGCGUUGGUUUAGCCAGUUGGUAGGGUAAAAGCCUACCAAGGCGAGGAUGCCUAGAUGGUCUGAGAGGAUGAUACGCCACGCUGGGGCUGCGACACGGCCCAGACUCCUACGCGAGGGAGGAGUGGGGAAUAUUGGAGAAUGGGCGAAAGUCUGGUAACGCCAUGCCGGGUGAGUGAUGCAGGCCUUAGGGAUGUAAAGCUCUUUUAACCGGGAUGAUAAUGACAGUACCGGGAGAAUAAGCACCGGCUAACUACGUG